ACUGGAAUGUAACAGAGGUUUUUGUACGACGGCUUCAUUAGAAUGUAUCACUGUGGUUGACUUUUGGUGGAGGAACCAAACUCAUCAUCACCGGUCCCACGGUGAAGCCCUCCGUGUCUCUGCUCCCUCCCUCCUCUCUGCAGCUGUCUGAGGGAUCGGCCUCGCUGCUCUGCCUGCUGUCUGCCUACUCUCCACAGGGGGCGCUGGUGAGCUGGACAGUGGACGGCUCAGAGGUGAAGAACGGGGUUCUGACCAGCGCAGAAGAACACAAGAAGGACGGUUACACACGCAGCAGCACCCUGACCCUCAGCAAAGCACUCUGGGAAAAGGGGGAGGAGUUUGUCUGUACGGUCUCCCAUGACGGCGUCAAUCAUCCGGUCACGUUCAGAAAGAGCCAGUGUGAAGGCUAACAGCUCCAAGAUAGAAUUUAACACUCAGCUGCUUACACAUCCAUCUACAAUAGAGUUUCAAUUCUACACAAUGCUGACAUUUCUGUCUUUACUCUCUUCACUGUCCUGUUGCUCUUCCUGUAGUUUUGCUCUGCUGAAAUAAAGCUUCAUUUUGGA